AAACAAUAAAUCUAGAUAAAUAAUGUGAAUGAGUGCUGCUGUUGUUAGAAUUAUUCUCUUUCAUAUAUGAUAUUCUUCAAUUUUAUAGUGACCUUAAGAGGUAGAGGUAAUAGAUAUGGUGAAAAUUCUCAUUUUGCAAGGGAGAAAAUGAAACACUGCCAAGGCAAAAAAAAAAAAAAAAAUCUACUGAGGUCUAGAACUCAUAGUGCAAACUCUGGGGCUUGAAACUGUUCUGAAUAUAGACCAAGCCUUAGGGCCUUUUCCCUGGGUCCAUUGAUUCCAUUCUGUCACAUAAUUCUCUAUCUCAUUCAUUCAUUCCUUCAACAAAUGAAUUGAGUGCCUGCCACCUUGCCAACACUCUUCUAGGUGUUGGAGUAAUGUCAGAGGUCACGACUGUCAGAAAUAUCUGCAAGAUGCAGAAUAAAACGUGUACUGUCUUCUGUAUCACCACUCAUCAUCUUAAACAACAUGGCUCCCAACUCAGGGUACUUGUUGUCUAGGACACAGCCAAUAAUCAAAACACUAGUUUCAAUGCUAGAGAAAAGGUGUAAGCGAUCUGGAAGAAAGACAGCAGAGGAGCAGAGACAUCGGGUAGAGACAAGUAACAUUUUAUAUAGGAUGGUCAUGGUAGACUUCACUGAAAAGGUGAAUUUGAGCUUGACAGAGGUCAGAGAUAGUCAUCUGGCUAAGAGCUUUUCAGGCAGAGUUACAUAGCCAAGGAAGAGACUCUAAGGAGCCUGGAAUGGCUAGAGUGAGGUAGUGAGCAGUCAGAGUUGAAGUUAGCAAGAUAAGGGGCUGAAUCAUGUAGGACCAUGCAAAUCAUUGUGAUGACUUUAGCUUUUACUCUGCAACAAUCACAGAGCCUCUGUGGAGUUUUUAGCACAGAGGUGGCAUAAUCUUAUUAUAUUGUUAAAACAUUCUAUUGACUGCUGGGUUGAAAUUAGGUUGAAGAGGACAGGGUAGAAGACGAAAGAAAUCCAAACAAUGUGUGUGGCAGAGACAAUGAAAUAUAUUCAUGGAACCUUUCAAAUGUGUCCUAGGCACACAGGAAACCAUUUCCUAUUCUCUUUCUGCAGUGAGGUUAGCAUGACAGGACCAAGAUUUGUCCCAAAGUGAUGAUACCACUUCCAGGCAUGACUCUAAAACCUGACGUGUGACCCUCAAAACUCUGGCCCCACUGCAGCACCCCUGGACCUCAACACGUGUUGAGGAUAGCAGUAUUGUAAGAGGGAAGGAGGCUGGGUGCUCAGUGAACGCGUGGAGUAGGGUCACUUCCCCCCACACCAGCCACAUUGUGCUGUGGCCUGAGUAUGUUUGGAAAUCAUGAAAAAGGUUAAAGAAGACCAUUAAAAAAAAACAAAAAAAAACCCCUCCCAAUGCUAUCUAUUUCUUUCAGCUUUGUUACUAGUGACUGUUGAGAUUCACUUCCUGUUCCAAAGUGAGGAGAGCAGUGUACAGAUGGGUCGUGCCUCUUCUCCCCGUCUCACUAACAGCUGCUCAAAAUCAUACCUACAUGCCGUCACACUUUUCAGCAUCACAGCGUGCAUCAGAACCCGGGACGUGGAGGGUGGAGAAUCUCUAAGUCCCUGCAGUGUUGGGUGUGGAAAUUAAGACAACAGUUCAGCAGCAACAACAAAAUAACUACAAGAUGGCUCUCAGCAGAUUGGUGGUCAAGGUGGAGGGAGGCAGUACCAGCAUCAUCGCCCUCCGACUGACAGAAACCUGGUAUUGUGAGAUUGUCAGAAAGAACUUGCCCUGAAGAGCUCAUUGAUCACCACCUCUUAUAGGAAUAGGGUGAUUUCCACUGGAUGUGCUAGCAGAUUAAAUAUAAGUGACUUGAAAAGAAAGAGGAGCUGUUGAAAACAGUGAAAAUGUCAAUAGAAGACUUGACAGCUUGAGAAUAGAAGAGGAAAAACAAAAGCAAAGCAGACAAAGAAACUUAACCCCCCUGCAAUACAGCAUUGGGUUGUUGAAUCAACAAAAAGUUAAAUAAGUUUAAGAUCAUCGGAGAUGUGCACAGACUAUUUUGAAGUGACUUUCACCUACAAUAACUUGCUUUAAAAUGUUUUGACAGUUUGAAGAGGGGGUUGAGCCUCAGUUAUCACUUAUUAGAAAGGCCUCUUUCUAUGAGAAGGUACAGAUGAGUCUCCUCUGAGCAUUUAACUGGGCUUUCCUGAAGGGUAUACAUACAGCUUGGAGUUACAAAUGAUCAUAACUUAGAAAAUCUGUGUAUAUAAUCUCUCUGGCAUACUUUACACCUUAUGGUUCUUUUGAAUUCUAGUCUGGAGAAUUUGGAGUCAGAGGUAAGGCAAAAAAAAAAAAAGCCCAAAACAAAAGCCAUCCUUUGCAUCUCAUCUCUGUGAGUUCAUUAUGGUGCAGCUGUCAGAAAAAAGCUCACCCCAAAGAUCUCCUUUAUCACCAGCUCUUACGGUGAACGCAAUGGGUCUGCCACCAUUGAUUCUGGCUUCAAGAUCUGGUCUUACAUCCUCUUCCCCUUUUGUGUCAAAAUACAAAAACAAACCCGGACUUCCCUGGUGGUCCAGUGGUUAAGAAUCAGCCUGCGAUGCAAGGGACAUGGCUUCAAACUCUUGUCCAGGAAGAUUUCACAUGCCAUGGGGCAGCUAAGCCCGUGUACCACAGCUACUGACGCCCACUUGCCUAGAGCCCAGUAAGAGAAGCCACAACAAUAAGAAGCCUGUGCACUGCAACAGAGUGGACCCCACUUGCCACAAGA